rnacentral:rRNA from 1 species
UACGUAGGCAGCGAGCGUUGUUCGGAAUUACUGGGCGUAAAGAGUGUGUAGGCGGUGUUCUAAGUCUGGUGUGAAAUCUCCCGGCUCAACUGGGAGGGUGCGCCGGAAACUGGAAUGCUCGAGUAUGGGAGAGGUAAGCGGAAUUCCUGGUGUAGCGGUGAAAUGCGUAGAUAUCAGGAGGAACACCCGUGGUGUAGACAGCUUACUGGACCAUCACUGACGCUGAGACACGAAAGCGUGGGUAGCAAACAGG